GCACUAGCCAAGAAGAGCAUACUCUCUCAAGAAUGAACAUCUUCAAAAAAGAGCCCCAGUGGACCUCCCCAGCAGCCAUCUGCGGAUUAGAAACUCAACCUGCAGGCCCAGAUGUGGGUUGAGUCAGCUACGGGACUCGGAGAAGUUCAAGUUGAUGAGAACAAGAUGCUUGGCAAUGUCCUGGGCUCAAAUGCAGAACACAGUCAACUACCAGAAACUUUGAAAUCACCCCCCAAACAUCUGUCUUCUCAUCGUAAAUCAUGGCUGAAAAUUCAAAUGAAGCAAAUUUGAACCAAAAAUAGCCCUGACUUACCAUCAUGCUGAUUUCUAAGUGAACUUUCUAGUGAACAACCACCUACCAGCAUAUCAGCACAAUGACGUAAAAAGGAAAAACAUUAGCAUUUUCCAAUCCAGUCAACGGAUGAAGCACAGAAAAGCCAUUUGGACAGAAGCAAAGGUCUCCAAGAACAAGUCAGCCAUGCUGUUAAUAUCCCAAAGCUAGAGAAAUCUGUUCCAUGCCAGGGCCAUAUUGGAAGUUUAGAGGGAGAAUGGCAUGGAAAAACAAAAGAUCCCUGGGAUCCACUGAGGAUUGCUGGGCGAAAAUGGAAUUUGGGCUGUGAGGUGAGAAGUAUUCAGGCUGACCUCUGCAGGAUACAGCAGUAGCCAUUUGAAGUGCUUGCACUCCAGCAGGAUGCUAAGCUCCCCCAUAGAGCUCCGCACAUGAGCUCACCCCUAAUCCCUGGUGCCUUCCAUCUCUCUGGUCUGCUUGGAACAAGUCCUUCUUCCAAGCAGGGCACUACUUGCCACAGUUGCUGUACCUCUGGCUCAGAAAGCAACCCCUGACCAAAUCCUCCCUUGAGUCAACUUCACCCGGGCUCCUGAAAGCCCUGGCUGUCCAUCUUUGUCACAUCUGUACUGUAUGUACCACUUUAGCAAGAAACAGACUGAGUAAGUUUAGAAAGAACCUCUCUCUACUCCGGGGGGCUGGCCCAGUCUCCCCAAGGCAGGUCCAAUAGCAUCCACUUUGUAAUCAGAACCCCUGAUAGCUUCAUGUUGAAAGAAGAAGAAAAAAAAAUCAA